GCGCAAAGUAAAACAAAAAAAACUCAAUUCGAUUUAUGGUUUGUGAUUGCAAAUUUGACAUAAUUGUGUUUUUUGAUUUAUUUCUUAAUCGUAUCCGUGUCUGUAUAAGUGUGUGUGUGUGUGUGUGUCUGUGUGUAGCAUCUUCAAGUGCCGCAAAACCGACCACGAUUAUCGCACACAGCGCA
rnacentral:sRNA from 1 species